AUACCAGAUAAGGAGAGGAAGGAGGCCUGGGAAAAAGCCAAGAAAUGCUCCGUCCUUGUUUAUUUCCAUCCUCCUCGUUGCUUUCCCAAAUACUGUAAUACCAUCCCUUUCCUGCCCCUCCCGUGAUCGGUAAACAUCAGGACCGGGGACGUCUUGAUCUCCGCGGUUCUCACGGAACUUUUUGCACGGCUUCCAGAUUCCCCUGCUGUUCCAAGACCGCCAAACCUACCGGGUUUCCCAAAAUGUGAUGAACAGAACAGAUCCCGCUGGCUUGACUUUUUAAAAAAGUCUGCCGGCCUGCCUGCCAGUGCGGUGGGAGGGCGACAUGCUGGGAUAGCCCCAGUCUUUUUCUUUGUUUUCCACAGUCUCCACCAGAAGGGUGACCUUCGGAUUCCCGGAAUCCUUCCCCACUCCCUAGAAUUUACUGGGCCAACUCUGGAAGUGGCUUGGACAAAAUAAUAAGACUAUUUUGUGGUGUUUACAUGGAAAUCCUUUCUCUCUAGUCCGUCCCGAAGAUUGUUCCUGAGUUUGAGGACUGAUUCCUGUUACAAAACCCCUGAAGUCCCAAAUUCAAAGCCAGGUUCUUUCAGAAAUCAUAAAAUGUCGUAUACUGAUUAAUGAAUGAUUGUGUGAAGUUGUAUCAUCUUGGAAUAGUUUUACUUCUAAUGCUGUCUUAGGAAGACUGCAGACUGAAAGGUAGCUAUGAAAUGGAUUAUUAAGUAAAUAAACCCACCUUCUAUUGUUACCUAAGGCCUACUGUUCCACUCCCACAGCUAGAGCCAGUUGUACCAUUAGGAAGCCUCCACCAGGUACUGGGAGGAGCAACUGCUACCGCCUAUCAGCCAUUCCUCUUGAGCCCCCUAUUCCUCUGACUUUUUAGGUCUACGUAUUCGGGUAUCCAACUAUGAUCACACUAAAAAGAUCUGAACUGCAGCUAUCAAUCUAUGGUACAAGUACUGUACCCAGCAGGCGACUAAUACUAUCUGCAUAGGAUGGAAGAAUAGGAAAAUAAUGUACUCCAACUCUCUGCUCAUUGUAGUAUAGCCAGAAUCCUUUUGGCAGCUUCCGGGUGAGAGAGCUGCACAAGACAUUUCCCCUGUGCUCAGACCACUUUAAAGG